rnacentral:rRNA from 1 species
GAUGAACGCUGGCGGCGUGCCUAAUACAUGCAAGUCGAGCGAACGGACGAGAAGCUUGCUUCUCUGAUGUUAGCGGCGGACGGGUGAGUAACACGUGGAUAACCUACCUAUAAGACUGGGAUAACUUCGGGAAACCGGAGCUACUACCGGAUAAUAUUUUGAACCGCAUGGUUCAAACGUGAAAGACGCUCUUGCUGUCACUUAUAGAUGGAUCCGCGCUGCAUUAGCUAGUUGGUAAGGUAACGGCUUACCAAGGCAACGAUGCAUAGCCGACCUGAGAGGGUGAUCAGCAGCAGGGGAAAUGAGACACGGCCCAACCUCCGACGGGAGGCAGCGGUAGGGAAUCUGCCGCAAGGGGCGAAAGCGUGACGGAGGAAAUGCGCGAGAGUGAGGAGGGGCUUCGGAGCGUAAAACUUGGUGAUUAGAGAAGAAUAUAUGUCUAAGUACCUGGGCACAUCUGGACGGACCCGAAGCAGAAGGCCCCGGCUAACUACGG